rnacentral:rRNA from 1 species
CCUACGGGUGGCUGCAGUGGGGAAUAUUGGACAAUGGGCGAAAGCCUGAUCCAGCCAUGCCGCGUGUGUGAAGAAGGCCUUCGGGUUGUAAAGCACUUUCAGUGGGGAAGAAAGCCUUGGGGCUAAUACCCUCGAGGAAGGACAUCACCCACAGAAGAAGCACCGGCUAACUCCGUGCCAGCAGCCGCGGUAAUACGGAGGAUGCGAGCGUUAAUCGGAAUUACUGGGCGUAAAGCGCGCGUAGGCGGUCUGAUAAGCCGGUUGUGAAAGCCCCGGGCUCAACCUGGGAACGGCAUCCGGAACUGUCAGGCUAGAGUGCAGGAGAGGAAGGUAGAAUUCCCGGUGUAGCGGUGAAAUGCGUAGAGAUCGGGAGGAAUACCAGUGGCGAAGGCGGCCUUCUGGACUGACACUGACGCUGAGGUGCGAAAGCGUGGGUAGCAAACAGGAUUAGAUACCCCAGUAGUC